rnacentral:rRNA from 1 species
UUGGCGGCGUGGAUUAGGCAUGCAAGUCGCACGGAAAAUCUUAAUUUGAAGCUUCGGUUGAUUAUUAAGGUGGAAAGUGGCGAAAGGGAGAGUAACGCGUGGAUAUCUACCCCGGGAUCUGGGAUAGCUGCGGGAAACUGCAGGUAAUACCGGAUAAUGUCUCCGGACCAAAGGUGUGAUUCCGUCUUGGGAUGAGUCCGCGUCCUAUUAGCUUGUUGGUGGGGUAAUGGCCUACCAAGGCAAUGAUGGGUAGCGGGUGUGAGAGCAUGACCCGUCUCACUGGGACUGAGACGCUGCCCAGACACCUACGGGUGGCUGCAGUCGAGAAUCUUCCGCAAUGGACGAAAGUCUGACGGAGCGACGCCGCGUGCGGGAUGAAGGCCUUCGGGUUGUAAACCGCUGUCAGUUGGGAGGAAAUGCUAUGGGGCACUCUCCAUAGUUUGACCGAUCUUCAGAGGAAGUCCGGGCUAAGUUCGUGCCAGCAGCCGCGGUAAGACGAACCGGACGAACGUUACUCGGAAUCACUGGGCUUAAAGAGUACGUAGGCGGCUUGGUAGGUUGGGUGUGAAAUCCCACAGCUCAACUGUGGAACUGCGCUCAAAACCACCAAGCUUGAGGGAGACAGGGGUAAGCGGAACUGAUGGUGGAGCGGUGAAAUGCGUGGAUAUUAUCAGGAACACCGGUGGCGAAGGCGGCUUACUGGGUCUCUUCUGACGCUGAGGUACGAAAGCUAGGGUAGCGAACGGGAUUAGAUACCCCGGUAGUCCUAGCUGUAAACGAUGAGCACUUGUUCGAGGGGGCCUCCACACCCUCUCGGACGUAGCGAAAGUGUUAAGUGCUCCGCCUGGGGAGUAUGGUCGCAAGGCAA